rnacentral:rRNA from 1 species
UUAGCUGUAAACGAUGUGAACUUAGUGUCGGUGGGGUUAAAUCCAUCGGUACUGAAGCUAACGCGAUAAGUUCACCGCCUGGGGACUACGGCCGCAAGGUUAAAACUCAAAGGAAUUGACGGGGCCCCGCACAAGCAGCGGAGCGUGUGGUUUAAUUCGAUGCUACACGAAGAACCUUACCAGGGUUUGACAUGCAAGUGGUAGGAAACUGAAAAGUGACCGACCCUUCGGGGAGCUUGCACAGGUGC